GGAUGUGAGGGUAGUCUGGCUGGGCUGUCUGUCACCCUACUGAUUUCCAGGGUUGAUUAGGCUUAUCUGGAUGGGUUGACAAGUGUCCCCUUCCUCCCUCCACACUCCAUGUGAGUCUUCCCCGAAGAUGCCUGCUUGGUUGAAGAUAACCACUUUCUCACGAUAGAAGGAAGGCCAUCCUACAGUGAUGGGUGUAGGAGUGGCUGGGCUCCCCUGCUAGAAGCUCCCAAAGCGCAUCAUUUACUCAUUUAUUCAAACCCGUCAUAGAAGUCUCUCGGGCCCCAAGUACGCCAAUGACGUGAAGCACAGUCUGCAUUUCAUGAUUUUACAAUGGAAUCAGGGAGAGGAAGCAAGCAUGUGGAUUC
rnacentral:snRNA from 1 species